UACGUAGGGUGCGAGCGUUGUCCGGAAUCAUUGGGCGUAAAGGGCGCGUAGGCGGCCCGGCAAGUCAACGGUGAAAGCUUGGGGCUCAACCCCGAGUCGGCCGUCGAUACUUCCGGGCUGGAGCACUGUAGAGGCAGGUGGAAUUCCGGGUGUAGCGGUGGAAUGCGUAGAGAUCCGGAAGAACACCGGUGGCGAAGGCGGCCUGCUGGGCAGUAGCUGACGCUGAGGCGCGACAGCGUGGGGAGCAAACAGG
rnacentral:rRNA from 1 species